rnacentral:rRNA from 1 species
UGGGGAAUAUUGCACAAUGGACGGAAGUCUGAUGCAGCAACGCCGCGUGCGGGAUGACGGCCUUCGGGUUGUAAACCGCUUUUUCUCAUGACGAAGUUUUUUGACGGUAGUGGGGGAAGAAGCACCGGCUAACUACGUGCCAGCAGCCGCGGUGAUACGUAGGGUGCGAGCGUUGUCCGGAAUUAUUGGGCGUAAAGAGCUUGUAGGCGGUUUGUCGCGUCGAUAGUGCAAACUCAGUGCUUAACGCUGAGCCUGCUGUUGAUACGGGCAGACUAGAGGAAGGUAGGGGAGAAUGGAAUUCCCGGUGGAGCGGUGGAAUGCGCAGAUAUCGGGGGGAACACCGGUGGCGAAGGCGGUUCUCUGGGCCUUACCUGACGCUGAGAAGCGAAAGCGUGGGGAGCGAACAGG